rnacentral:rRNA from 1 species
AAUGAACGCUGGCGGCAUGCCUAACACAUGCAAGUCGAACGAGAUCUUCGGAUCUAGUGGCGCACGGGUGAGUAACGCGUGGGAACCUACCUUUUAGUACGGGACAACGUUUGGAAACGAACGCUAAUACCGUAUACGCCCUCCGGGGGAAAGGUCAGCCGCUGAAAGAGGGGCCCGCGUCUGAUUAGCUUGUUGGUAAGGUAAAGGCUUACCAAGGCAACGAUCAGUAGCUGGUCUGAGAGGAUGAUCAGCCACACUGGGACUGAGACACGGCCCAGACUCCUACGGGAGGCAGCAGUGGGGGAAUAUUGGACAAUGGAGGCAACUCUGAUCCAGCAAUGCCGCGUGUGUGAUGAAGGCCCUAGGGUUGUAAAGCACUUUCAACGGUGAAGAUGAUGACGGUAGCCGUAGAAGAAGCCCCGGCUAACUUCGUGCCAGCAGCCGCGGUAAU